rnacentral:rRNA from 1 species
UACGAGGGGGGCUAGCGUUGUUCGGAAUUACUGGGCGUAAAGCGCGCGCAGGCGGCUAUCCAAGUCAGUGGUGAAAGCCCGGAGCUCAACUCCGGAACUGCCAUUGAAACUGUUUAGCUUGAGGACGAGAGAGGUGAGUGGAAUUCCCAGUGUAGAGGUGAAAUUCGUAGAUAUUGGGAAGAACACCGGUGGCGAAGGCGGCUCACUGGCUCGUAUCUGACGCUCAGGCGCGACAGCGUGGGGAUCAAACAGG